UGGCGGCGUGCCUAACACAUGCAAGUCGUGCGAGAAAGUCACCUUCGGGUGGCGAGUAGAGCGGCGCACGGGUGAGUAACACGUGGGUAAUUUACCUUGGAGUCUGGGAUAACCCGGGGAAACCCGGGCUAAUACCGGAUACGGCCUGAGGGUCUUCGGAUCUUCAGGAGAAAGCGGGCCUCUGCAUGCAAGCUCGUGCUCUUUGAUGAGCCCGCGUCCCAUUAGCUUGUUGGUGAGGUAACGGCUCACCAAGGCGAUGAUGGGUAGCUGAUCUGAGAGGAUGAUCAGCCACACUGGAACUGAGACACGGUCCAGACUCCUACGGGAGGCAGCAGUGGGGAAUUUUGGUCAAUGGGCGAAAGCCUGAACCAGCAACGCCGCGUGCAGGAUGAAGGCCCUCGGGUCGUAAACUGCUGUCGGGAGGGAAGAACAGCUCGGUAAUCAAUACCUGCCGAGCCUGACGGUACCUCCGAAGGAAGCACCGGCUAACUCCGUG
rnacentral:rRNA from 1 species